rnacentral:tRNA from 1 species
GGCAGCAUAGCUCAGUGGUAGAGUGCAUGCUUAGCAUGCAUGACAUCCUGGGUUCAAUCCCCAGUACCUUCA